CUCCCCUUCCCCAGUCAUCUCACUUGACCUCUUGCCUGGGCCCACCCUUCCCAAGGAUCUAUCUCCCAAACCAAUAAUUUCAACAUCUCUGACUUAGUCAAGGGGUCAAUACUACAUGGAAACAUCAAAGUGUUUCAAGUCGGCCACAGCUCACACAAUUGACAACAACAGAAAUCAAAUGAUAGAUUCAAGGAGACAAUAUGGAUCCUCAAAUUCUGUGUGUGGUGUGGCAGAGCCAGGGGCAGGGUCACAGGGCAGGAAGAACAUCUGAGAAGACAGAGAGUGAGGACAUCCCAUUUGACGGAAGAAAGGAAAUGUGUGCCUGCCCAUUUUUGCAGCUGGCUCUUUUCAUUUGCCUUCACACUGGACUCUUGCAGGCCUCAAGAAAAGGCAUCACAUCAAUCUGUGUGGCUUGUGUUCAAUUCUCUUUUAACUCACCCUAUACCUUAGGAGAAUCACCUGACAAGUGAAUUCAUUAAGCUUCACUAAGCUUCAUUUAAAUCAUGAUUCUCCCUUUGAAAUGAUGGCCACAUUAGAAACUAUUGUUUGACAUUAAAGUUCAGAAAUGUAUUACCUUUUAACACCAUUCAAUAGAGGAUCAGAGAUUGAGUCAAUGAACCAAAGAGAAGAGUACCCUCGUGGGAAAGGGCAGCCAGGGGGGUGUCUGUGGACUCGUGACAGACCCUGAAGUACAGACAUCAGGA